UACGUAGGGGGCAAGCGUUGUCCGGAUUUAUUGGGCGUAAAGAGCGUGUAGGCGGCCAGGUAGGUCUGCUGUGAAAACUCGAGGCUUAACCUCGAGCUGUCGGCGGAAACCAUCUGGCUAGAGUCCGGAAGAGGAGAAUGGAAUUCCCGGUGUAGCGGUGAAAUGCGCAGAUAUCGGGAAGAACACCCGUGGAGAAGGCGGUUCUCUGGGACGGUACUGACGCUGAGACGCGAAAGCGUGGGGAGCGAACAGG
rnacentral:rRNA from 1 species